AUGGCCUGGACUCCUCUGCUCCUCGCGCUCCUCUCUCUCUGCACAGGGUCCCUCUCCCAGCCUGUGCUGACCCAGCCGCCCUCCCUCUCUGCCUCUCCGGGAGCCACAGCCAGACUCACCUGCACCCUGAGCAGUGGCUCCAAUGUUGGUGGCUACCACAUACACUGGCACCAGCAGAAGCCAGGGAGCCGUCUCAGGUUUCUCCUGAGAUUCAACACAGACUCAAAUAAGUACCAGGGCUCCGGGGUCCCCAGCCGCUUCUCUGGAUCCAGAGACGACUCGGCCAAUGCGGGGCUCCUGCUCAUCUCGGGGCUGCAGCCCGAGGACGAGGCUGACUAUUACUGCGCUACAUACUAUAGCAGUGGGGGCAGCUUUCGUUACCCACAGGACCUGUGUCCCCGGGAGGAGGAGGUCACCUCGAUGGAGCAGCAGCACAGGCGUCCCAGGAGCACACGGGAGGUCAUGGAGCCCCGCCCACCACCUUGA